UUGGGCGUAAGGGCUCGCAGGCGGUUUCUUAAGUCUGAUGUGAAAGCCCCCGGCUCAACCGGGGAGGGUCAUUGGAAACUGGGGAACUUGAGUGCAGAAGAGGAGAGUGGAAUUCCACGUGUAGCGGUGAAAUGCGUAGAGAUGUGGAGGAACACCAGUGGCGAAGGCGACUCUCUGGUCUGUAACUGACGCUGAGGAGCGAAAGCGUGGGGAGCGAACAGGAUUAGAUACCCUGGUAGUCCACGCCGUAAACGAUGAGUGCUAAGUGUUAGGGGGUUUCCGCCCCUUAGUGCUGCAGCUAACGCAUUAAGCACUCCGCCUGGGGAGUACGGUCGCAAGACUGAAACUCAAAGGAAUUGACGGGGGCCCGCACAAGCGGUGGAGCAUGUGGUUUAAUUCGAAGCAACGCGAAGAACCUUACCAGGUCUUGACAUCCUCUGACAAUCCUAGAGAUAGGACGUCCCCUUCGGGGGCAGAGUGACAGGUGGUGCAUGGUUGUCGUCAGCUCGUGUCGUGAGAUGUUGGGUUAAGUCCCGCAACGAGCGCAACCCUGA
rnacentral:rRNA from 1 species